rnacentral:rRNA from 1 species
GGGCCCGCACAAGCGGUGGAGCAUGUGGUUCAAUUCGACGCAACGCGAAGAACCUUACCUGGGCUAGACAACGGCGGACCGUCCUAGAAAUAGGAAUUUCCCUUCGGGGACUGCCGGUUCAGGUGCUGCAUGGCUGUCGUCAGCUCGUGCCGUGAGGUGUUGGGUUAAGUCCCGCAACGAGCGCAACCCUCGUCCUUAGUUGCCACCAUUCAGUUGGGCACUCUAGGGAGACUGCCGGCGUUAAGCCGGAGGAAGGUGGGGACGACGUCAAGUCAUCAUGGCCCUUAUGUCCAGGGCCACACACGUGCUACAAUGGGCGGUACAAAGGGUUGCAAACCCGCGAGGGGGAGCUAAUCCCAAAAAGCCGCUCUCAGUUCGGAUUGGAGUCUGCAACUCGACUCCAUGAAGUUGGAAUCGCUAGUAAUCGCGGAUCAGCACGCCGCGGUGAAUACGUUCCCGGGCCUU